UACGAAGGGGGCUAGCGUUGUUCGGAAUUACUGGGCGUAAAGCGCACGUAGGCGGAUUUGUUAGUCAGGGGUGAAAUCCCGGGGCUCAACCUCGGAACUGCCUUUGAUACUGCAAGUCUCGAGUCCGGAAGAGGUGAGUGGAAUUCCUAGUGUAGAGGUGAAAUUCGUAGAUAUUAGGAAGAACACCAGUGGCGAAGGCGGCUCACUGGCCAGUUUCUGACGCUGUAGCGCGAAAGCGUGGGGAUCAAACAGG
rnacentral:rRNA from 1 species